GCUGAAGUGGUGGAAUUGGUAGACACGUUGGACUUAAAAUCCAAUGGCCUUUGGGCCGUGCGGGUUCAAGUCCCGCCUUCAGUACUA
rnacentral:tRNA from 2 species